rnacentral:rRNA from 1 species
UAGGGAAUCUUCCACAAUGGACGAAAGUCUGAUGGAGCAAUGCCGCGUGAGCGAAGAAGGUUUUCGGAUCGUAAAGCUCUGUUGUAAGGGAAGAACACGUACGGGAGUAACUGCCCGUACCUUGACGGUACCUUAUUAGAAAGCCACGGCUAACUACGUGCCAGCAGCCGCGGUAAUACGUAGGUGGCAAGCGUUGUCCGGAAUUAUUGGGCGUAAAGCGCGCGCAGGCGGUCCUUUAAGUCUGAUGUGAAAGCCCACGGCUCAACCGUGGAGGGUCAUUGGAAACUGGGGGACUUGAGUACAGAAGAGGAAAGCGGAAUUCCACGUGUAGCGGUGAAAUGCGUAGAGAUGUGGAGGAACACCAGUGGCGAAGGCGGCUUUCUGGUCUGUAACUGACGCUGAGGCGCGAAAGCGUGGGGAGCAAACA